GAGCCCGUGGCUUAGCCUGGCUAGAGCACUCGACUGAUAAUCGAGAGGUCGCGCGUUCAAAUCGCGCCGGGCUCA
rnacentral:tRNA from 1 species